CCUUGGUCUUUAUCUUAUCUUUUUUAUGUACUACAGAACUGUUUAUUAUUUUACCAGAAUAAGUUUAUCCUGCUCACAGUUUUGUGAUGUGUUUUUAAGAUUUAAUAAUAUAUGAUAGUUACGGUUAAUAAACACCUUUUAAAUGGUGCUGUGAAUUUAAUAGCUCCAGCACAUGUGAGGCCAGUGGAUACCCAGCACAGGCACAGAAGAGUUGCUUUUUAAACAUAUGCUGGGCUGGAAGAAGAGAAGAAAAGGAAGCGCAGAGACCUAACAUCUAUUGUAUGGCUACUGUGUAAAAUAAAUAGUUUUGUUUUUUUAAGUUUAUUUAUUUUGAGAGAGAGGUGUGCAUGCAUGAGCUGGGGAGGAGCAGAGAGAGAGAGAGAGAGAGAGAGAGAGAGAGAGAGAGAGAAUCUUAAGCAGGCUCUGUGCUGUCAGUGCUGAGCCCCAACACAGGGCUCCACCUCUGUCUCACCAAUCGUGAGAUCAUGAUCUGAGCUGAAAUCAAGUUGGAUGUUUAACCAAACUGAGCCACCCAGGCACCCACCCCCAUUUAUUUUUUUUAAAGUUUAUUUACUUACUUGUUUUGAGAGAGAGUGAGACAAGGGCAGAGAGAGAAUCCCAAGCACGUUCCGUCAGCACUGUCAGUGCAAAGGCCUGCACGAAGCUUGAACCCACAAACCAUGAGAUCAUGGCCUGAGCUGGAGUUGGACAUUUAACUGACUGAGCUAUCCAGGUGCUCCCCAAUUUUUUUUUUUUUAAAUAAAGAUUUGUUCUCUGCUGCUAAAUGUCAAGGCGAAUCCUGAAUUCUGUCCUCCUUUGUGUGACUAUCACUGCAACUUCUUUAACUUAAUUUUCCUGUGAGGCUGGAGCUAAUAAGGAAGAUGGGGGAGGUUAGAAGGUGAUGGUGGCGUGUGCCUUGUAAAGGGAGAGAAGGCCUGUCACUUGGAGGCCCCAUUGAACAAGUUGGAGGAAGUCAGAGCAUAGUCUCUCUGCUGAAGGCUCAGGGUACUUCCAACAAAUUGCUGUUUUUAAACCAUGGAAUGAUACGAUUUGAGUGAGCUAUUUCCUAAGCUUUUUCUUCUUUUUUUUUUUUUCUUAAUUUUUUUUUUUGAACGUUUAUUCAUUUUUGAGAGACAGCAUGAGCGGGAAGGGUCAGAGAGAGAGAGAGGGGGGUGGGGAGACACAGAAUCUGAAACAGGCUCCAGGCUCUGAGCUGUCAGCACAGAGCCCGAUGUGGGGCUUGAACUCACGAACUGCAAGAUCAUGACCUGAGCCGAAGUCGGACGCUCAACUGACUGAGCCACCCAGGCACCCCGUCAGCUUUUUCUUUUUAAACAGCUUUAUUGAGAUAUAAUUCACAUACCAUACAGUUCAGUGGUUUCGGUCUAUUACGUUAUUUUUAAAAAUUGUGGUAAGAUAAAUAUAACAAAAAUUUGCCAUUUUAACGUAUUAGCAUUUUUUUAAUGUUAAAAAAAAACCCACACAAAAUUUACCAUUUUAACUAUAUUUGAAUGUGUAGUUCUGUGGAAGUGCAUUCCCAUUGAUGGGAAAUAUAUCUCCAGAACUUUUUCAUCUUGGAUAUCUGAAACUUUAUACCCAUUAAAAUCAACUCUCCUUUUCUUCCUCCCCUCAGCCUCUGGUAACCACCAAUCUAUUUUCUGCUUUUGGAUACGUCAUAUAAGUGAAGUGUAUUUUCUGCUUUUGGAUACCUCAUAUAAGUGAAGUGACUGGCUUAUUGCACUUACCAUAAUAUCGUUAAGGUUCAUCCAUGUUGUACCAUGUGACAGGAUUUCCUUCCUUUUAAAUGCUAAGUAAUACUGGGGCACGUGGCUGGCUGGCUCAUUUGGUGGAACAUGUGACUCUUGAUCUUGGCCAUGGGUUUGAGCCCCAUAUUGAGUAUAGAGAUUACUUUGAAAAAAGGCUGCUUAAUACUCUGUUUUAUGUAUAUACCCCAUUUUGUUUAUUCAUCUGUUGAUGGACAUGAGUUUCCCACCUUUUGGCCAUUGUAACUAGUGUUGCUAUGAACAUGGGCGUGCACAUAUCUCUUUGAGACCCUUCUUUAAAUUCUUGUAAUUACCAAGAUAAUAGCCAGAAUUGGGACUGCUGGAUCAUAUUGUGGUUCUAUUUUCAAUUUUUUGAGGAACUUCCAUACUGUUUGCCAUAGUGAUUGUACUAUUUUACAGUCCUACCAACAGUGCACAAGCGUUCUAGUAUCUCCACAUCCUUGCUAACAUUUGUUGUUGUUUGUGUGUUUAAAUAGUAGCCAUCCUAAUGGAGUGUAAGCUGAUUUUUUUUUUAAAUUGAAGUGUAGUUGAUGUACAAUAUUAUUUUAGUUUCCCAUGUACAAUAUGGUGAUUGGACAUUUAUAUACAUUAUUUCAUUGUGGUUUUGAUUUGCAUUUCUCUGAUUAAUGAUGUUAAUUGAACACCUUUUCAUAUGCUUGUUGGCCAUUUGUAUAUCAUCUUUGCAGAAAUGUCUAUCCAAGUCCUUUGCUCGUUUUAAAUCAGUUAACAUGAUUUUUUUUUGUUGUUGAGCUGUCGUUGUUUGUAUAUUGUGAAUAUUGAUCCUUUAUCAGAUAGAUGAUUUGCAAACACUUUUGCCCAUGUCUUUUCACUGUUGAUUUUGUCUUUUGUCUGUUUUUCGCUUUUGUUGCUUAUGCUUUUGGUGUCUUAUCCAAGAACACUGCCAAGUCUAAUGCCAUGAAGUUUUCCCCUAUUCUUUCUUCUAGGAGUUUUAUAGUUUUAGGUUGUUACAGUUUUAGGUUUUAGAUUUAGGUCAUUUUAACUUUUUUUUAUGAGUACAGUUUAGUGGCAUUGAGUACAUUCACAGUGUUACUCAGUCAUCACUAUUUCUAAAAUGUUUUCUUUAUCCCAAAUAAAAAUUCCGUAACCAUUAAGCAAUAAUUCCCCAUUCCCUUUUCCUCCUAGCCACUGGUAACCUCUAGUCUGCCUUCUGUCUCUAUGAAUUUGCCUAUUUUAGGUACUUUGCAUAACUGGAAUCAUAGAAUAUUUGCCCUUUAGUGUCUGGUUUAUUUCAGUUAGCAUGAUAUUUUCAAGGUUCAUCCAUGUUGCAGCAUGUAUCAGGUUGUCAUUCUUUUUUGAGGUCAGGGAUGUUUUUUUCAUCUUGAUAUUUCACCCUCUUUUGAAGCUCCAUAAAGGCUAUUGAAUUGAUUAGAAUUCAUGCUCUUCAUGUGGGUUGCAGUCACAGGGGAUGUCCACUGACAAGCACAAAUUUCUUGAAAAUUCAAACAUGAUUGUGCGUAAAAGUGCAUAAUGGUAACCCAAACCAUAGUAAAUAGCAUCAUUUAUAAUUUCUUGUCUAAUUAUAAUUUCUGAUCUUUGAAUGUACAGUGUUUUUGGAAUAUUCUGUUUUGUACAGAAAAAGUGUCACAUGAAGGGAACAAGAAUAAAGAAUAGGCAGAUUUUUGCCUUUGCUUUAUAAGUAUGUAGUGAUUUUGUUAGAGGUGUGGAUUGAUCUCCAGGUAUUCUGUAUUGUAUAGAGAAGUUUUUUUUAUAAGUAUGGUAUUUAAUGGCCUAGUUAGAAAAAAUAACACUUUUGGGGAAAGAGCAUUUUGAAGUUAAUCAUAGACUUUCUGGUUUGUUUCAGUACAAACAAAGCUAUUCAGGAUAUUCUCAUGUAUGAAAGACUUUCUUUUCUCUCUUUUUUUUUUAAUUAAAAACAAUUUUUAAAAAUUUAUUUUUGAGAGUGAGGGAAAGGGAGGGACAGAGAGACGGAGACACAGAAUCCGAAGCAGGCUCCAGGCUCUGAACUGUCAGCACAGAGCCCGAUACGGCGCUCGAACUCACAAACCACGAAAUCAUGACCUGAGCUGAAGUUGGAUGGUUAACCGACUGAGGCACCAGAUAUCCCUAAAAUAAUUUAAGUUUAUUUUGAAAGGAGGAGGAGGGGCAGAGGGAGAAGGAGAGAAAAAGAGAGAGGGAGAGAGAAUGAAUCUGAAGCAUGUUUCGUACUGUCAGCCCAGAGUCCACCCAGCAGGGGGCUUGAACCCACAAACUGAGAUCAUGACCUCAGCUGAAACCAAGAUUUGGAUGCUCCACUGACUGAGGCAUAGCCACCCAGGUGCCCCAGGGUUUCUUCUCAAGAUGAACUUGUACUUCUGUCUGUCUCUCUCUCCAAAAAUAAAUAAACGUUAAAAAAAUUUUUUAAAAAAGGCGCCUGGUGGCUCAGUUGGUUAAGUGUCCGACUUUGGCUCAGGUCAUGAUCUCACGUUUCCUGGGUUUGAGCCCCGUGUGGGGCUCUGUGUGACAGCCCAGAGCAUGGAACCUGCUUCAGAUUCUGUGUCUCCCUCUCUUUCUGCCCCUUCCCCUGCUCACGCUCUUUCUUUCCAAAAAUAAGUAAACAUUUAAAAAAAAAAAAAAA